rnacentral:rRNA from 1 species
GACGAACGCUGGCGGCGUGCUUAACACAUGCAAGUCGAACGGAAAGGCCCUGCUUUUGUGGGGUGCUCGAGUGGCGAACGGGUGAGUAACACGUGAGUAACCUGCCCUUGACUUUGGGAUAACUUCAGGAAACUGGGGCUAAUACCGGAUAGGAGCUCCUGUUGCAUGGUGGGGGUUGGAAAGUUUCGGCGGUUGGGGAUGGACUCGCGGCUUAUCAGCUUGUUGGUGGGGUAGUGGCUUACCAAGGCUUUGACGGGUAGCCGGCCUGAGAGGGUGACCGGCCACAUUGGGACUGAGAUACGGCCCAGACUCCUACGGGAGGCAGCAGUGGGGAAUAUUGCACAAUGGGCGGAAGCCUGAUGCAGCAACGCCGCGUGCGGGAUGACGGCCUUCGGGUUGUAAACCGCUUUCGCCUGUGACGAAGCGUGAGUGACGGUAAUGGGUAAAGAAGCACCGGCUAACUACGUG